CCUACGGGAGGCAGCAGUGAGGAAUAUUGGUCAAUGGACGCGAGUCUGAACCAGCCAAGUCGCGUGAAGGAUGACUGCCCUAUGGGUUGUAAACUUCUUUUAUAUGGGAAUAAAAUGUUACACGUGUGGGGUUUUGUAUGUACCAUAUGAAUAAGGAUCGGCUAACUCCGUGCCAGCAGCCGCGGUAAUACGGAGGAUCCGAGCGUUAUCCGGAUUUAUUGGGUUUAAAGGGUGCGUAGGUGGAUUGUUAAGUCAGUUGUGAAAGUUUGCGGCUCAACCGUGGAAUUGCAGUUGAAACUGGCAGUCUUGAGUACAGUAGAGGUGGGCGGAAUUCGUGGUGUAGCGGUGAAAUGCUUAGAGAUCACGAAGAACACCGAUUGCGAAGGCAGUUCACUAGACUGCAACUGACACUGAGGCACGAAAGUGUGGGUAGCAAACAGGAUUAGAUACCCCAGUAGUC
rnacentral:rRNA from 1 species